rnacentral:rRNA from 1 species
AGCGUAGACGGUGUGGCAAGUCUGAUGUGAAAGGCUGGGGCUCAACCCCGGGACUGCAUUGGAAACUGCCCGUCUUGAGUGCCGGAGAGGUAAGCGGAAUUCCUAGUGUAGCGGUGAAAUGCGUAGAUAUUGGGAGGAACACCAGUGGCGAAGGCGGCUUACUGGACGGUAACUGACGUUGAGGCUCGAAAGCGUGGGGAGCAAACA